GAUGAACGCUGGCGGCGUGCUUAACACAUGCAAGUCGAACGGAAAGGCCAGUGCUUGCACUGGUGCUCGAGUGGCGAACGGGUGAGUAACACGUGGGUGAUCUGCCCUGCACUUUGGGAUAAGCCUGGGAAACUGGGUCUAAUACCAGAUAGGACCAUGCUUUGGAUGGGGUGUUGGAAAGUUUUUUCGGUGUGGGAUGAGCUUGCGGCCUAUCGGCUUGUUGGUGGGGUAAUGGCCUACCAAGGCGUCGAGGGGUAGCCGGCCUGAGAGGGUGUACGGCCACAUUGGGACUGAGAUACGGCCCAGACUCCUACGGGAGGCAGCAGUGGGGAAUAUUGCACAAUGGGCGCAAGCCUGAUGCAGCGACGCCGCGUGGGGGAUGACGGCCUUCGGGUUGUAAACUCCUUUCGCAACUGACGAAGCUUUUUGUGACGGUAGGUUGAGAAGAAGCACCGGCUAACUACGUG
rnacentral:rRNA from 1 species